rnacentral:rRNA from 1 species
CCUACGGGAGUCAGCAGUAGGGAAUAUUGCUCAAUGGGGGAAACCCUGAAGCAGCAACGCCGCGUGGAGGAUGAAGGUUUUCGGAUUGUAAAAUCCUUUUGUUAGAGAAGAUAAUGACGGUAUCUAACGAAUAAGCACCGGCUAACUCCGUGCCAGCAGCCGCGGUAAUACGGAGGGUGCAAGCGUUACUCGGAAUCACUGGGCGUAAAGGGCGCGUAGGCGGGAUAGCAAGUCAGAUGUGAAAUCCUAUGGCUUAACCAUAGAACUGCAUUUGAAACUGUUAUUCUAGAGUAUGGGAGAGGUAGGUGGAAUUCGUGGUGUAGGGGUAAAAUCCGUAGAGAUCAAGAGGAAUACUCAUUGCGAAGGCGACCUGCUAGAACAUAACUGACGCUGAUGCGCGAAAGCGUGGGGAGCAAACAGGAUUAGAUACCCGGGUAGUC